UACGGGGGGGGCAAGCGUUGUUCGGAAUUACUGGGCGUAAAGGGCUCGUAGGUGGCCAACUAAGUCAGACGUGAAAUCCCUCGGCUUAACCGGGGAACUGCGUCUGAUACUGGAUGGCUUGAGUUUGGGAGAGGGAUGCGGAAUUCCAGGUGUAGCGGUGAAAUGCGCAGAUAUCAGGAGGAACACCGGUGGCGAAGGCGGAUCUCUGGGCCAUAACUGACGCUGAGGAGCGAAAGCAUGGGGAGCGAACAGG
rnacentral:rRNA from 1 species